GAUGAACGCUGGCGGCGUGCCUAAUACAUGCAAGUCGAGCGAACAGACGAGGAGCUUGCUCCUCUGACGUUAGCGGCGGACGGGUGAGUAACACGUGGAUAACCUACCUAUAAGACUGGGAUAACUUCGGGAAACCGGAGCUAAUACCGGAUAACAUGUUGAACCGCAUGGUUCAACAGUGAAAGACGGUCUUGCUGUCACUUAUAGAUGGAUCCGCGCCGCAUUAGCUAGUUGGUAAGAUAACGGCUUACCAAGGCAACGAUGCGUAGCCGACCUGAGAGGGUGAUCGGCCACACUGGAACUGAGACACGGUCCAGACUCCUACGGGAGGCAGCAGUAGGGAAUCUUCCGCAAUGGGCGAAAGCCUGACGGAGCAACGCCGCGUGAGUGAAGAAGGUCUUCGGAUCGUAAAACUCUGUUAUUAGGGAAGAACAAAUGUGUAAGUAACUAUGCACGUCUUGACGGUACCUAAUCAGAAAGCCACGGCUAACUACGUG
rnacentral:rRNA from 1 species